rnacentral:rRNA from 1 species
AUACGUAGGUGACAAGCGUUAUCCGGAUUUACUGGGCGUAAAGGGCGUGUAGGCGGUCUUGCAAGUCAGAAGUGAAAUUCCUGAGCUCAACUCGGGCGCUGCUUCUGAAACUGCAGGACUUGAGUGCUGGAGGGGAUAGCGGAAUUCCUAGUGGAGCGGUAAAAUGCGCAGAUAUUAGGAAGAACACCGGUGGCGAAGGCGGCCUGCUGGACGACAACUGACGCUGAGGCGCGAAAGCGUGGGGAGCAAACAGGAUUAGAUACCCUGGUAGUCCACGCUGUAAACGAUGAAUACUAGGUGUGGGGGGACUGACCCCCUCCGUGCCGCAGUUAACACAAUAAGUAUUCCACCUGGGGAGUACGAUCGCAAGAUUGAAACUCAAAGGAAUUGACGGGG